rnacentral:lncRNA from 1 species
UCGUCAGCGUCGCGUCUCUCUGGUCUUAUCUGCAUGCAUUAAUUUUAUCACGUUAGCGUGCAUUCUGCGUGCGGCAGCUGCCCGUGAUCUUCUACGUUUCGCAAGCGUUCUGCGUGGCCACGCAGCGUGCGUUUUCCAGCACUCCCUUUUCUCGCGAGCGAUCGUUUCAGCGUUUUUUCUGCUUUUUCAUCGUCUCUAAUCUCGAACGUUCCUUCGCGUUCGCGGUGCCCUUGCUGGCAUUGUACGUUCCGCAACAUAAUAUUUGUCACGCGUAUUCCUUGUGUUCGCGGUGUCCUUGUUGGCAUUGUACGUUUCCGGACUUUCUUUGCUUUGUGAUAUUAAUUGUAAGCCGUGUAAAUAUCGCAUCCGCGUUUUGUUUGUUAACCGGUUGAAUGUUCUAGAGUCUCUAUCCGUUGUCUGUUCGAAAUAAAGAGAUCGAGUCAAAACUUCGCGAGUCGUUGCUGGAGACGGUCGAACAUCAAAUUGUGAUAAAUUCAAUUUGCCUAGAAUCCUUCCUGCCUCUUUUCAGAGACCAGCCGUCUUACAUUUCUGGCAGAGUUGGCAGUCAUCCUAAACAGUUUGGCAAUCGUCCAUCACAAGUGGUGACCCCGACGUGAUAUGAACACGCAACGCAACGCAACGCAAUCUUCUCAAUUGCACCCGUCGUAAUACAGACAUAUGAAACCCGCUGAUUACGACGACGUGACUCUCUACGGCCAAUCUUCGGACGCACUCGCCUUACAGAGGUUCGCACACCUCCCUGUCGACGUCCAUACGGCCAGUCCAACGUCGCCAACCGGUAAAGAGCCAAUUACCGGACAUCUCGAUUUUCAAGGUUCGCUCACACACCUCACUGUCGAUGUCCAAAUCGGCUAGCCCAUCCAACGAGGAAAUUAGCGCACAAUAGAAUCGCAGCGGCAACGUGCCCUCCUUAUAUCGCGCAUCUCAUACUUCCCUGGGCAGUAACACAUCGGGCAACGAGCAAAUAUCAAAAAGAGAAGAAAAAUCGCAGCUUGUCCACUAAGGGGGGAAUCCUGUGGCGGUCCCCGCUCACACAACUAAUACCUAGCAAAGCAUCCACGAAGAGAACCAUGGCCUGCAUAGCGCAGUGAUAGUGCGCCUGCUUUGGACACCUGAGGACCUAAGUUCGAAUCUCAUCGCGGCCAACAUCUUUUUCGCUGUCAAACUCAGAACAUCGUGGACGACCUCCUCACCAAAGCCACAGGUGGAUUCUUCGCGGAGAAAGUUUAUGACCACUCGAGUCGGAGAACGGGUGUACCCGUGCUUUCUCCGUUCUCACGAGCGGAGUCGCAAGAGCUCGGACUGCCGAGUGUACUCGGCCAGCUGAGGUGAACCCCAGCUCGGGCGGAAGGUUUCGGUGGUUGCCGAGUACUCGGCCGAUCGGGGUGUAUCCCAGUACUCGGAAUCAAUCGGACGGAUGUGUGGUUGUAUCGGAGGGCACUCUGAUACAUAGCAGCGGAAAUCGAUGGCGGCGGAGUCGGAUCGAAUGAACUCGAUGCGCUGAGGAGAUCUUAGCAACUCUCAGCUUGUCGUGGAAAGUUCGAAAGGUUUCGGUCAAGUGAACUUGGCGCGUUGGAGAGGGUCCCAAUAUAUCACAGGCUGCAACCGGAAUCGGGAUACUCGCUUCUCGUGAGACGUGCUCUCAGAAGGCGAGCGCGGAACAGGAUGAUUUUUCUAUGGAGAGUGAUAUCUUUUUAUACCCGAGAUCGACCUCGGUAUUUUUCGGUCGGAUUGAUCUCGGAGGUAGCAACCUUCACAGAAGCGAAGAAAAGGAAUCGGUUCAAUUGGUUUUUUAGGAAGAUAAGAAAUCGGAGUGGGGAUGUCUAGGAAUAGGAAGAGGAGUGGUGAAAUAACGGCGCGACGCGGAGACGGUUACAUUGCUUAUAGACACGGUUGUGACGCGAUACGGGGCGCACGCUCGCUUUCGUGGCGCGGUGGAGUAUCAUCGCUUGGUGGUACGGCUCGGUGGAAUACCAUGAAAACAAUCGUGGACUCGCGGUAUUCCCACGCUAUAACUCCAACGCUUCGGAGUUCGCGAAAUAUUACAGAUUAAAAAAUAAGCGUAAAUGCCUUUUGCAGCCACUGCCGCACUCCGUCUAAUGGUCGGCGGUCCCCGAUCGGAUGAUCGGUCAGGGGAAGAUUCGGAGAAGAAACGGAGCGUAGGGAUGCCCAUUAUAGCUUUAAACAUUAAAUAUAAUUUGUUUCCUUUCACAAAUUUUUAUAAAAUUAAAGACUUAAGCUGGAUCCUCAUGCACUGGCGCUUUAACACAGAACGCUAAUUGAUGAAAAAUGAGUAGUGGGAAUAAAUAGUAACGUAGUACUAUUUAUUUAUUUGUUUUUUUUUAAGUUUUUCAUUGAAGAGGAGUUGUGAAAGAAUUAGGGGAGGAAGAUCUUCUGCUUUGUGCCCGAACAUCUGACUGAAAAAAUCCUUUUUUUUUAAAGAAGUCUGUCUCGCCCUCGGUUUUUUUGAAUCGUAGUUUUUCCAAGGGACUUAGGGCGAAUGCCGAGGCAGGGAUUUGGGGUGUCUAUAGGACGAAAGAGUCCACGGAAGCUUCCCUUCCUUGUCCGAAGAUGCAAGAGAGAAGUGCGUAAAACACAAACACAAGAUGAAAAAGCAUCAAGAAAGAAGAAAGAAGAAGGAAAAUGACCUCGUAGCGGCACGAGAUUUCCGGGAGGGAAAGGAAGAAGGAGUGUUGGAAUUGAUUCGGCGCUCGGUAACCCACAGCAGCAGCUCGGAGUAGAGCAGGAAGCCGACAGAUUCCCUGAGAGCUUCACCAUGGAAGAAGAAACCGAUUUUUCUGCGAGAGUUCCCUGGAAUUGUCGGGACGACAAUUUCGAAGAGGAGGGGAGUAGUAUUACAACCAAGGGGUGCCCCGGAGUUACCCUCGGAAUAGGAUUUCUAACAUGAAGAUCAUACUCUGCGUUGUCGAUUAUGAAUAUUGAUUUGACAGAUCAUUUGAGAGAUGACGCGCGAGCGAAUUGCGAGCGCGAGAUUGUAUCACGAGCUAUAUAACUAGUUGUUGUGCUUAUUAAAGUUUGUUGUUUUGUAAACAACUUUUAUUUAUUUCCGCGUAUCGCGUGAGUGAGUGGCUUGUGCGAGUGGCCGCUGCGAAAGCGCGACAAUAUUAAUAAAUUAAUUUUAAUUUAAUUAUUAAUUUUUAUUUUUUAAUAUUUAAAUUUUCUUUUCCAAAUAAUUGGUAACCAUGCAUUUAACACAUAAGCUGCAACUCAGCUUUUAAGCUGUGUAAUGUUGUGUCGUUGUUGGAAAGCACUAUGUCAUUUUGUGUCGCCUGUGUCUCUUGCUGGAAAGUUCCCAAUAUACUGUAUAAAUAAAAUAUAUAUUUUAAAUCUAA